rnacentral:lncRNA from 1 species
AAAAACUUUGAAAUUGUUGUCUACCAUUUUUAAAGAACAGACCCAUCAUUUUAUUAGGGUUUCGGGAUCCCUAUGCCCCAAAUGGUCGCCGCAAUGCCAAAAGAUUAGAGGAAAUUUCUCCCUCCAAAGGCCAACUUCUACGACAGAGGAAGAGUUACCGACGAUGGAGGAGCGAGUCAACUCAGGUAUUCCUCUCUCUUUUCUCUUUUUUUUUUGUUUUUUACACACAAAUAAAAGGAAUAAAAAAAAAUCAAAAGAACCAAACAAUCGAAAGGAAAAACUGAAAACAGCUUCAAAAUUUGAUUUGUAUUCAUAUUUUUGCGUCUGUUUUCUUGUGUAUUCCCUUUGCUAGUGUAUUCGUGAAAAAAAAGAAACGACCCCCUAUUCGCACACUUCCUUUACUGUAAGCAGUGAUUGAUGAUGCGCAGAUGCCAUGGCAAAUCAAAUCUCAAGGAUUGUCCGCUUCGACUUCGAGAUCCCAUCUUUACUUCGAUUGCAACGAAGAAGAUGGGCUACAAUCGCUAAGGUAAAUCCCUUUCUUUCUUUUUAUUUUCUAAAUGCGAUGAUGAAAGAUUUGAAGAAAUAAAUUACCAAGUAAAAAAAGAAAUUGCAGAAAUCAAAACAGAGAUUACUUUUUCAAAAAUGGCUUUCGAAUAUUUCCUAUUCAAUCUGCGUGUUUAGUAUGGGUAACCCCCAUACAAUGAGAAUGUUUAUGGCUUUAUAGCCGAAAAUAAAAAAGGAAAAUACAAAGAAUUUUUGUUGUUUUUUCUCUUUGUUGUGUUGUCCUUUUUGCAUCUGUGCGUAGGUAGGAAGGUACGGAGCUCGGUGGUUGAACGGCGCUGUGCUGGAGAUGAGGACGAGGGGUUGCAGUGCCUAGUAGCUAGGGUUUUCGCCCUUCAGCUGAAGCUUGUUUCAGUUUUGGGCCGUUUGGGCCAGGGGUAUUUUUGGGCUACUUGGGUUAAUUCGGUUUUGGGUUUUAAAUUUGGGUUUGGGUUUGUAAUGUUUUGAGUUUAAAAUUGGGUUGUGUAAUUUGGACUUGUGGACUGUAUUAUUUUUUGUUUUGGGAUUGAUUUUUGGUUGUUAGGCCCGGGCGGAUUUGGCCCAUUACAAAGCCAAAUCAAAUAUAAGUUCAAAAGAAAAAGAAAUCACCACUACAAGGUUUGAUACAUCUUCAAUGUCAACAACAUUUUCUAGAAACGUAAAAAACUUCAUCAAAUAGCAAACAAACAUAUACUUCUUAUAUAGCAUAAGAACAACAAUCCCAACACAUCAUAAAAACCAACACUCAAACCAAUAGCUUCCCUUUUUUUUCAACAAACUUGUCAAUCAUAAUCUCUUGAUUAGACCGAAGAAAAACGAAUGUUGAAGAAUAUGGGGAUUAAAA